UGGGGACGGCGUGGUGGACAUCAUUGAGCUCCAGGAGGGGCUGAGAAACUGGAGCUCCGCGUUUGACCCCAACUCCGAGGAGCAUGGAUAGUGAUGGAUCAAUGACAGUAGACUGGGAUGAAUGGAAGUACUACUUUUUACUGCAUCCUGCAACAAAUAUCACUGAAAUGAUUCAUUUCUGGAAGCAUUCUACUGUGGCGUGCCCUUGGAAAGCUAUCAGGAAUCAGGAUGUGUCCUAAGGGAGCAGAAGCCCAGUUACUGAGGAAGCUGUUUUAUAUUUCCACCUGCAACACAGAAUUUUCAGCUCCUGCUCUUACCUAAGGACUGACUGAACUGAGUCACCUAUCUGAAAAGAAUAUAGAUCACAGAUGGAAUCAAACAUGCGGAAGGAUGAUGGGUUAUGUGUCUUACCAUCUAAUGCCAUUCAAAGUAUGUUCCCUACACUUAGCCCACUGAAUUAAAGGUUUAUCUCCAUGGGAUGCAUUAACCAGAAUCUCAACCUAUAUUUAUGUAAGAAAUAUUAGGCAUGGGGGGAAUAGUAUUUACUCCCCUUGGUGCUCCCACAGUACUAUGUGUAUCAUCUGUCUGGGUAGAUAGCACUUAUAUCACAUUUUAUUAUUACCUAUCUAACUAACUAUUGUCCAAGAGAGCUUGUAAAUUCUCUAAGGACAAAAACUAUGUCUAACAUUUUCCUAUAGUCCCUAAUGCCUAUUAAAGCAGCUAGUACAUAAUUGGCCCUAAAUAAAUAUAUGUGGAAUUAAUGAAGUCUUUUCCCUUGCAAAACCUAUCCUUCUAACAACCUAUAUUUUCCAUAAAUGAUAUAUUUAUAUAAGUUUAAUUCCUAAUUAAGAUAAAUCAUUUUUUAGAAUGAGACAGAAGUAUAAACUAAAUAGUUCUUAAACAUGUGACACUAAAGUUAUUACACAAUUAAUUCACAUUGUAUAAUAACUGUUCAUAAUGCAUUACUAAAAUGUCACCAACAUUACCGAAAAGCAAAAGAUAGUAAAACACCCACAUAUGUGAAUUUAAUUUGAAAUUUAAGUUAAUUAGGUUGUGGAUGAUUAAUUUUUAUAUCCUUGCAGAGAAAGUAUUCAGCAAAUAUCAAACUUUAAUUGUGGAUUCUACUUAUGAUAAUUAACACAUUAAGCCAUGCACUAUUUUAUAACUACUGUUGA
rnacentral:lncRNA from 1 species